AAAAAGACAAACCCUGAAUUUUUGUGUCCAAUGUUUGAUUAUUCGUCUUAUAUGAAUUUUUUUUUAUAAUUAGUAUUUUCAUUGUUAUUAGAUGAUAAAACAUGAUUAAUAUUUUAUGCGUGACUUGUCUUUUUAAUUUUUUUUUAUAAUUUUUUAAAUGAGGCGGACGGUCAAACGUUGGGCACGGAAAUUAAGAGUUUGUCUUUUU
rfam:Oryza glumipatula chromosome 6, whole genome shotgun sequence.